rnacentral:tRNA from 1 species
UUUAUUAUGGCAGAUUAGUGUUUUAAAUUUAGAAUUUAAUUAUAUAUAAUUUAAUUUAUAUUAAUAAAU